rnacentral:rRNA from 1 species
UACAGAGGUCUCAAGCGUUGUUCGGAUUCAUUGGGCGUAAAGGGUGCGUAGGUGGCGCGCUAAGUCGGGUGUGAAAUUUCGGAGCUUAACUCCGAAACUGCAUUCGAUACUGGCGUGCUUGAGGACUGGAGAGGAGACUGGAAUUCAUGGUGUAGCAGUGAAAUGCGUAGAGAUCAUGAGGAAGACCAGUGGCGAAGGCGGGUCUCUGGGCCGAUACUGACGCUGAGGAGCGAAAGCGUGGGGAGCGAACAGG